rnacentral:lncRNA from 1 species
UUAAAGUGGUGCUUUAAAUUAUCCAAUAAUACCCGGAUAAGUUGUGAGCGAUGUGUUUCGCCUGAGGCGCUCCAUGGGUGUGCAACGAGGGCCAGUAUGCUGCUGGAAGGUGCUGGAAGGUACAGAGGAAUCUCGAUUAACCAUACACUUUAAGUAUGGAAUGACUGGGGGCACCUGGAUGGCUCAGGGGUCCAGCGUCUGCCUUUGGCUCAGGGUAUGAUCCCACCAUCCUGGAAUCGAGUCCUCCAUCAGGCUCCCCUCAAAGAAUCUGCUUCUCUCUCUGCCUCUCUCUCUCUUCCUCUCUGUGUCUCUCAUGAAUAAAUACAUAAAAUCUUAAAAAAAAAAAAAAAAAGAAUGGAAUGCCUAGUAAAAACAAAACAUAGUCUUGUUCUAUUGCUUGUUUAUUCAGUUAUUCAUUCAUGUAUUCAUUUCAUAUUACAAAUAUUUAUUGAGUGACACAUUACGUACAUGAUACAUGACUAUGAGAAAUUCAGAGAUGAACCAGAUUAGUGUCUACUGCUGAUCCUUUUUCAAAAAUAUAUUAGUUUAUUUCCUUGUUUUUUAUGCUGAACAUGAGAGGCAGCGUGAUAUAAUGAAAAAGUCCUGGCCCAGGGGAUAUAAGACCCACCGUCUAGUCCUGGUUUUAUGAGUUACAUGAAAUAAGCAGGUCUUUUUUAAAUCUAACUCAUCCACAAAAUUAGAAAGGAUAAAAAUAUCUGCUUUGCCUAUUGCAAAUAUAAAAUAAUGGAAAUGAUAAUCUACAAAUUGCUAUUUUUUACUUAUUGGAAGACAUUGUAUUAGAAGUCAGAAGAUCUGGUUUCCCUUCUGGACCCUACUAACAAAAGACUCUAGCUUUCACCUCUCACGCCUUGUUGUCCUCAUCAAAUUAAGAGGUUAGGGGCAUCUUAGCUGGCUUAGUCAGAAGAACAUGUGACUCUUGAUCUCAGGGUCAUGAGUUUCAGCCCCAUGCUGGGUGUAGAGAUCAUUAAAAAAGAUAAAGACACUUUUAAAAUAAAAUGAAGAGUUUAGUGUGCAUGAUUAGAUUUAGAUUCCAAGAUCUCUUCCAGCUGAAAAUUCCAGGUUUUAGGAGUUCGUGAUUUUAAAGUAAUUAUUCUCUGAAGAUCAGCAUGUUAAUUUACUAGAGUUAGAUAAGUUUUCUAGCCAUGGAUCUUAAAAGAUUUAAAUGUAUGAAACACUGGAAGCUUUUCUAGAAAUUGUGCUUAAUUGUUUGCAGAAGAAUCUCUGCAUUGGCUUAUUUUACAGGGUGUUUUGCCUUCUUCACCUUAAAAAGCGAAAUAGAAGAGGAAAAUUUUUGUAAAGAAAAACAACUAUUUGAGUUACCUAUUGGUGUGUAGCAAAACACUCUAAAACCUAGUGGUGAAAAACAACAAUUUAUUAUUUUUUAUGAUUCUGUGGGUUGGUGGUUCUGAUGCUUCUUACUCACUGAUUGGGGUUUCUUAUGCUGCUGCAUUCAGCUGAGUGCUCAACUGAGGCUGGAACAUCGAAGAAUGAUCUCUCAUUCUCCAGGGCUGUGGUCCACGUAACCUCUCCUCAUUCACUAACCUAAGCCCAAACUUCUUACAUGACAACUGAAGCCCAAGAGGCAAGAGGAAAGCCCCAACGUACAAAUAUUUGUGUCAGCUGGCUACUGUUCCUUUGGCCAAAGUAAGUUUUGUGGCCAACUUCAGAGUCAAUAUGGGGGAGCCUGAGGAUUUGGAGGUAUGUUUCAUUGAGGACCACCAGUGUAAAAGUCUACCACCACAACUUCAUCCAACUGAGUUCUAAGUAACAGAGGUCUUACCCCUAUGCUCCUGUAUAUAUUAUUCCAUUCUUUUCUUCUGUGCUUUGUGCAUACUUCCCUUUCAGCAGGUAUCAUACUCCGCUUUAAUUAUCAGUUUAUAUUUCCAUCUUCCUGCACCAAAAUGGGACAUUAAUGAAUAAGGAAAGAGAAAGUGUCUUAUUCCUCUCUAAAUAUCAAGCAUCUAUCACAGUGUCUCCACAUUGAAGGCAUUUAGUUAAUAACACUGAAUGACACAGACUCCAAUUCUUUGGAACUCCACGCAGUGCCAACAGUAGAGCAUCUUAUUUCAGAUUGCACCAGGGCAAGAAUUCCUAACCUAGGCUCUUUAUCUUCACUAACUUCUAUCUGCUAUUUGUCAUUUCCUUCAGUUAUAAAUAUAAGCAACAACCACAGUAGUGUUAUCUGUAGGUGUGUGAGUUUACCACCAAUGGAAACCACAAAUAUUUCAUAUCACAACGCAGAUGACUUAUAGAUAUUGUAAAUAUUAUAAUUUUAAAAAUAAUUUUAAAAUAACAUGAAUAACCCAUUUUAAUAUAAUUGAUUUUCUUUGUAGUCCUAAGUCUUCUAUUUCAUUCCAUUUAGAAAUAUUCUUCUGAGGAGUACAGGGGCUUUACCACACUGCCCAGGCUGUCUGUUGCAAAGAAAAGGUAAAGAACCCCUGACCAGAGUAAGCACCUGACUUGGCAGACAUUUCAUACUCUUGAGAAGACCCUCCCUCCCCACCUCAUUAGAGCCACAUCAACAUUACCUUGUUUGAAAAGCAAAUUCUCAGGCUCUACCACAGACCUUCUAAAUCAGGAAGUUCAGGGGUGGGGCCCAGUAAUCUGUGUUUCUACAAGCCUUAUAGGUGAUUCUGAUGCAGGAGAGAAUUUGAGAACCAUUGAACCAGGAUAAACAUAAGUGAAUUGAAACUAAGCUGUAAAAGGGUAGCUGGAGACCAUUUAAUCGAUCAAUGAGUAUAGAUAAAUAUUGACUGGUAUCUCCUGUUUCCUCAGCACUGGGAAAAGUACUUUAGGAAAAUGCUCUGUAUCUUAAUUUCAGUGAUUGUAAUGCAGACAUAUACAUAUAUAAAAGACGUUAGUCUGUACACUUAUUAGUGUACUAUAUGUAUCUUGCAUGUCAAUUUC